rnacentral:rRNA from 1 species
UACGGGGGGGGCAAGCGUUGUUCGGAAUUACUGGGCGUAAAGGGCUCGUAGGCGGCCAACUAAGUCAGACGUGAAAUCCCUCGGCUUAACCGGGGAACUGCAUCUGAUACUGGAUGGCUUGAGUUCGGGAGAGGGAUGCGGAAUUCCAGGUGUAGCGGUGAAAUGCGUAGAUAUCUGGAGGAACACCAAUAGCGAAGGCAGCUCGCUGGGACGUUUACUGACACUGAGGCGCGAAAGCGUGGGGAGCGAACAGG